AGAGUUUGAUCAUGGCUCAGAACAAACGCUGGCGGCGUGCCUAAUACAUGCAAGUCGAACGGGGAAAGUUCUUCGGAAUGAGUACUAGUGGCGUACGGGUGAGCAACACGUGGAUAAUCUUCCUUCAGGUGGGGAAUAACGAGUCGAAAGAUUCGCUAAUACCGCAUAAGACCACAGUAACUUUGGUUACAGGGGUUAAAGACUUCGGUCGCCUUUAGAUGAGUCCGCGUCCGAUUAGCUAGUUGGUGAGGUAAUGGCUCACCAAGGCGACGAUCGGUAACUGGUCUGAGAGGACGGCCAGUCACACUGGGACUGAGACACGGCCCAGACUCCUACGGGAGGCAGCAGUAGGGAAUUUUGCACAAUGGAGGAAACUCUGAUGCAGCGACGCCGCGUGAGUGAUGAAGGCCUUCGGGUCGUAAAGCUCUGUUCUCAGGGAAUAAAAAAUGAAGGUACCUGAGGAGAAAGGACCGGCUAACUUCGUG
rnacentral:rRNA from 1 species